GACGAACGCUGGCGGCGUGCUUAAUACAUGCAAGUAGAACGCUGAAGAGAGGAGCUUACUCUUCUUGGAUGAGUUGCGAACGGGUGAGUAACGCGUAGGUAACCUGCCUUGUAGCGGGGGAUAACUAUUGGAAACGAUAGCUAAUACCGCAUAACAAUGGAUGACACAUGUCAUUUAUUUGAAAGGGGCAAUUGCUCCACUACAAGAUGGACCUGCGUUGUAUUAGCUAGUAGGUGAGGUAAUGGCUCACCUAGGCGACGAUACAUAGCCGACCUGAGAGGGUGAUCGGCCACACUGGGACUGAGACACGGCCCAGACUCCUACGGGAGGCAGCAGUAGGGAAUCUUCGGCAAUGGGGGCAACCCUGACCGAGCAACGCCGCGUGAGUGAAGAAGGGUUUCGGAUCGUAAAGCUCUGUUGUAAGUCAAGAACGGGUGUGAGAGUGGAAAGUUCACACUGUGACGGUAGCUUACCAGAAAGGGACGGCUAACUACGUG
rnacentral:rRNA from 1 species